AACUUACUUACAGUUUAGCAAUACUCCUUUCAUAAAUUAGGAAAAUCAAUAAAUCUGAUUUGUUGAUAAUUUAUACCAGACAUGCAGACAUGUUCGGGAUAUUUUGUUUAACAGGUUUGUUGGUUUUAGUCAGUGCAUGUGACGAUGCUUGUACGGAUCAUGAAUGUAACGGUGUAGGUACAUGUAAAUUAAAAUAUCAUCAUACAGACUGUAUAGAACCACCAUGUUUACAAGGCACCGUUUCUGCUACUUGUCUGAAUCUUGGAAAAGAUCCUGUAAAUCCCUGUAAAUAUGGUACAGCUUUUAUUGAUGACAAUAACCAACAUCUGAACUGUAGUCAGAAAGAUUUUGAAUGUCCGCACGGUUCUGUAUGUGAAACAGAUCCAACUAUAAACUGGGCAUUAUGCUGCUCCCGAUGUUAUAAUCCUGGAAACUGUCCAGUUGUAAAGCAGAAACAUACAGUUAGUUCACUCUGCAUUGAAGAAUGUGAGUUAGAUGGCGACUGUGGAGCAGUGAAGAAAUGUUGUUUCAAUGGAUGUGGACAAACCUGUGUAUACCCAAAUUUCACAAAAGGAAAAUAACUUGAAAAUAUCUUUAAUAUUUUUAAUGAAAUAAAUAUUUCAGUUGAUCUGUAA